UGAGGCAGGAGAAUUGCUUGAACCCAGGAAGCAGAGGUUGCAGUGAGCCGAGAUCGUGCCACUGCACUCCAGCCUGAGUGACAGCACGAGACUCCGUCUC
rnacentral:miRNA from 1 species